rnacentral:rRNA from 1 species
CGGUUUUAGUGGCGGACGGGUGAGUAACGCGUGGGUAACCUGCCUCACACUGGGGGAUAACACUUAGAAAUAGGUGCUAAUACCGCAUAAGCGCACGGGACUGCAUGGUCUUGUGUGAAAAACUCCGGUGGUGUGAGAUGGACCCGCGUCUGAUUAGCUGGUUGGCGGGGUAACGGCCCACCAAGGCGACGAUCAGUAGCCGGCCUGAGAGGGUGGACGGCCACAUUGGGACUGAGACUUUACGGCCCAAACUCCUACGGAAGGCAGCAG